rnacentral:rRNA from 1 species
GACGAACCGUGCGAACGUUGUUCGGAAUCACUGGGCUUAAAGGGCGCGUAGGCGGCUUGCCAAGUCAGUGGUGAAAUCCCGCAGCUUAACUGCGGAAGUGCCUUUGAUACUGGCGAGCUCGAGGGAGGUAGGGGUAUGUGGAACUUCUGGUGGAGCGGUGAAAUGCGUAGAUAUCGGGAGGAACACCUGUGGCGAAAGCGGCGCACUGGACCAUAACUGACGCUGAGGCGCGAAAGCUAGGGGAGCAAACAGG